AAGGGGAGCCUGAACGUUAGUGUUUUGUUGUUCAGAGCGCAUGCUGCGGCCCAGUGUUGCGGACCCCCGUUCUUGCUGUUACCGCACUGGCAGCACCCAGACCCAAGCGCAGCUGUAGUCUGCCUGCUAGAUACCGCCAACCCAUGGAGCAGAGGAAGAAGCAAAGAUUACAGCAAGCUGAUAAUCAGAGAAGGUCUAAAGGGAAAAAAAAACAAAAAA